UUUCUUUUGUGGUGAAAUGGCACCUCAUGAUUUGCAUCUAAAGAUAUGCUCAUUGUUUUCAGGGUCACUCAUGCUGACCAGUCAACUUCGAUGCAAAUGUUGUUGGAUUUGACCAAGACAAGGAUGUUGCGGUUUUACAUGUUGAUGCAUCCAAAGACAUACUAAGGCCUAUACCAUUUGGUGUCUCUGCAGACUUGCUAGUUGGUCAGAAAGUGUCUGCUAUUGACAAUCUUGUUAAAGGUACCUGAAAGAAGCCCCAUUCCUUACAAGCCAAAUGAAGUUUUGCCAUUAAUCAUCAUGGAACAAUGGAUUCAAGACAUUGGUUUUAGAAGGAUGAGAAGGCUCAGAAGUUAGCUCUAAGACAUGGACUUGAGGAUGCAAGCUUCCAUUAGGAAUAAGUAGGCUAGUGUUUGGUUGCAACUACAUUAUUGUACUUUGAUUUAUGUAUGGGAUGUAUAUAUGUAUAGCUGCAGUAACAGAUUAAUCAAAUAUUGGUAUUUUUAUGAAUGGAUUCCAUA